UGCGUUUUCGCGCAGGGUGCGGGCAAAUGUCACCAGUGGGCUGUUUAAGCCGUGUGAUGUGUUAAGUUGUGGUUCGGUUGGACGAGGAACGAGUUUUACCCCCUGAUACAUUGGCCUAAAACCAGUUAUUGAGUGAUGUGUGGUUGAAUUAGCUGCUGCAUUCGUCCAGGACAACCGGCUAUCUACUAGGGUCUUUGUCGCCGGUCGGGCGUGAGGCUUCAGACGCCAGGUCACCAUGAAAACUGAGGCAUAUGUGGACAGAAGCUUAGAUGACUUUAUCAAGGCGAACCGCAGCAUGUUCCGGCGCGGCCGGGGCGGCGUGGCGGGCCGCGGCGCGGCGGCAAGACGAGGCGCUCGGGGCACCGCCCGCGGGCAGAC
rnacentral:lncRNA from 1 species